rnacentral:rRNA from 1 species
AGUGAACGCUGGCGGUAGGCCUAACACAUGCAAGUCGAACGGCAGCACAGUAAGAGCUUGCUCUUACGGGUGGCGAGUGGCGGACGGGUGAGGAAUACAUCGGAAUCUACUUUUUCGUGGGGGAUAACGUAGGGAAACUUACGCUAAUACCGCAUACGACCUACGGGUGAAAGCAGGGGAUCUUCGGACCUUGCGCGAUUGAAUGAGCCGAUGUCGGAUUAGCUAGUUGGCGGGGUAAAGGCCCACCAAGGCGACGAUCCGUAGCUGGUCUGAGAGGAUGAUCAGCCACACUGGGACUGAGACACGGACCAGACUCCUACGGGAGGCAGCAGUGGGGAAUAUUGGACAAUGGGCGCAAGCCUGAUCCAGGCAUACCGCGUGGGUGAAGAAGGCCUUCGGGUUGUAAAGCCCUUUUGUUGGGGAAGAAAAGCAGCAGGUUAAUACCCCGCUGUUCUGACGGUACCCAAAGAAUAAGCACCGGCUAACUUCGUG